rnacentral:lncRNA from 1 species
UGUUUCUAUAUCUGAAAUAAAAUUUUUUUUAAAUUUCCUUCAAUGGUUUUAAUUUUGGACUGAGGAGGAUAUAUAGGACAAGGCACAUAACCUAAUAAGCUCAUAAAGACACGUAUAUGUGAUGAAAUUAGGAAAAAAUGUUGUAUCCCUGCAUUAUAGCUUUAUCUGCUAUGAUCAGAAUAUUUUUUUUGCUGGGGACUCUUUACAUAAGUAUGUAAGUCUUUACAUAAGUCAGGGACUGCCUGUAUAUAUAUUUUCAAUAGAAUUUUCAGUAGUUUUCAAUAACAUUCUCAGAAUCGUGUCCUUAAUAAAACUAAUAUUAAAAAUAAAAAAGUGCAUAAUUUGUUAAUAACUUUAAAUAAAUUAUUAUAGUUUCACAUAGUAAAAAAAUACUAUGUGAAACUAAUACUUCUCAAAUUAUAUAAUACUUCUCAAAUUAUAU